GUCCCCAUGUCCCCAACCGAUGUCCCCAUGUCACUGUUUCUGUGUCCCCAUGUCACUCUGUCCCCAUCUCCCCAUGUCCCGUCCCCAACACGGACGUCCCCAUGUCCCCAACAUCCAUGUCCCCGUGUUCCCACGUCCCCAUGGCCCUGUGUCCCCUGUCCCCAACAUCCAUGUCCCUGUGUCCCCGUGUCCCCAUCUCACUGUGUCCCAUAUCCCCUGUCCCGAACGCCCAUGUCCCCAUGUCACCGUGUCCCUGUGUCCCCAACAACUGAUGUCCCCAUGUCACCGUUCCUGUGUUCCUAUGUCCCCAUGUCCCCAUCUCCCCAUGUCCCAUCCCCAACAUCCAUGUCCACGUGUCCCCACGUCCCCCUGUCCCCAUCUCACCGUGUCCCAUGUCCCCUGUCCCCAACACCAACAUCCCCAUGUCCCUGUGUCCCCAUGUCACUCUGUCCCCAUCUCCCCAUGUCCCGUCCCCAACACCGACGUCCCUGUGUCCCCGUGUCCCUGUGUCCCUCUGUUCCCAUCUCCUCUGUCCCCAACGCCCAUGUCCCCAUGUCCAUGUCCCAUGUCCCCAACGCCAACAUCCCCAUGUCCCCCAUGUCCCCAUGUCCCUGUGUCCUGAUGUCCCUGCAUCCCAAUGUCCCCAACACCGAUGUCCCCAUGUCCCCACGUCCCUGUGUCCCCAUGUCCCAUGUCCCCAACAUCCAUGUCCCCAUGUCCCUGUGUCCCAUGUCCCCAGGUCCCCAAGACCACUGCCCCAUGUCUCCAACACCCGUGUCCCCCUGUCCCCGUGUCCCCUGUCCCCGUGUCCCCCUGUCCCACGUCCCCGUGUCCCCAGGGGCCCCGAGGACACGGCGGUGCUGGCGCAGGCGCUGCUGGCUCACCUGGACGCCCGCCGGGCGCAGCACCCGGCCAUGGUGGAGGUGGGGGACGGGGACGGGGGGUGGGGGUGGU
rnacentral:lncRNA from 1 species